GUGCUUGCUUCAGCAGCACAUAUACUAAAGUUGGGACAAUACAGAGAAAAUUAGCAUGGCCCCUGUGCAAGGAUGAUACCCAAAUUUGUGAAGUGUUCCAUAUUUAA
ensembl:snRNA U6 U6 spliceosomal RNA